rnacentral:rRNA from 1 species
GACUACCAGGGUAUCUAAGCCCAUUCGCUACCCACGCUUUCGUGCUACAGUGUCAGAUACAGGCCAGUGUGCUGCCUUCGCUUUUGGUGUUCCCCAAGAUAUCAACGGAUUUCACCCCUACACCUUGAGUUCCGCACACCUCUCCUGUCCUCUAGUAUUACCGUUUCGAAUGCUUUUCCCAAGUUGAGCUUGGGUCUUUAACACUCGACUAAUAACACCACCUUUUCACUCUUUACGCCCAAUAAAUCCGGAUAACGCUCGGGGCUCUCGUAUUACCGCUCCUGCUGGCACGAGAUUAGGAGCCCCUUAUUCAUGAGGUACCGUCAAUAAACUUCUUCCCUCAUAAAAGAUCUUUACGCUCCGAAGAGCUUCAUCAAUCACGCGGCGUCGCUCCAUCAGACUUUCGUCCAUUGUGGAAGAUUCUCGACUGCAGCCCCCCGUAGG